AUCUGGUAAGGCUAAAUACUCCCUAGCGACCGAUAGUGAAACAGUACCGUGAGGGAAAGGUGAAAAGCACCCCGGAAGGGGAGUGAAAUAGAACCUGAAACCGUGUGCUUACAAGAAGUCAGAGCCCAUUUUAGGGGUGAUGGCGUGCCUUUUGUAGAAUGAACCGGCGAGUUACGUUCCCGUGCAAGGUUAAGGUGAGAAGCCGUAGCCGCAGCGAAAGCGAGUCUGAAUAGGGCGA
rnacentral:rRNA from 1 species